rnacentral:rRNA from 1 species
GAUGAACGCUGGCGGCGUGCCUAAUACAUGCAAGUCGAGCGAACAGACGAGGAGCUUGCUCCUCUGACGUUAGCGGCGGACGGGUGAGUAACACGUGGAUAACCUACCUAUAAGACUGGGAUAACUUCGGGAAACCGGAGCUAAUACCGGAUAAUAUAUUGAACCGCAUGGUUCAAUAGUGAAAGACGGUUUUGCUGUCACUUAUAGAUGGAUCCGCGCCGCAUUAGCUAGUUGGUAAGGUAACGGCUUACCAAGGCAACGAUGCGUAGCCGACCUGAGAGAGUGGUAGGCCACAAGGAAACUAAGACACGGUCCAGACUCCAACGGGAGGCAGAGGGGGGGAGUGUUGAGAAAGGGGCGAAGGCCUGACGAAGCAACGCGGCGGGAGUGAGGAAGGGUUUCGGAUCGUAAAACUCUGUUAUUAGGGAAGAACAAAUGUGUAAGUAACAAUGCACGUCUGGACGGUACCUAAGCAGAAGGCCACGGUGAACUACGU